GGGGGUGAAUUCGCUUUGACAAGAAUUAGUUGGUAAUAUGCAAGUCGAGCCAUUCUCAAAACUCGUAAAACUUGGAGAAAUCAAACUAAGUGUAAACAACUUAUUUGAAGAACCUGCAUUAGCAUACGCAUAGUGCAUGUCCUCCUACCGAUUCUCGCUGGGUAGAAAAGGGCAUAAUCAUUGCGAGAUUGAUAAUAUAUUUUUGAUUUAGAAUAUAUUAUUGAAAAAAUAUAAAUCAAGCUUAAGAUACUUUUUGUCCAAUUUUAUAAUCUUAAGUUAAAACAAAAUUGGAAUAAACUUGUAGAGUUAUUAUUAAAUAAUCUUUGGACGCGGGCUCAUUACUCGCCACCUCCACAA
rnacentral:tmRNA from 1 species